GAUGAACGCUGGCGGUGUGCCUAAUACAUGCAAGUCGAGCGAACGGACGAGAAGCUUGCUUCUCUGAUGUUAGCGGCGGACGGGUGAGUAACACGUGGAUAACCUACCUAUAAGACUGGGAUAACUUCGGGAAACCGGAGCUAAUACCGGAUAAUAUUUUGAACCGCAUGGUUCAAAAGUGAAAGACGGUCUUGCUGUCACUUAUAGAUGGAUCCGCGCUGCAUUAGCUAGUUGGUAAGGUAACGGCUUACCAAGGCAACGAUGCAUAGCCGACCUGAGAGGGUGAUCGGCCACACUGGAAGUGAGACACGGUCCAGACUCCUACGGGAGGCAGCAGUAGGGAAUCUUCCGCAAUGGGCGAAAGCCUGACGGAGCAACGCCGCGUGAGUGAUGAAGGUCUUCGGAUCGUAAAACUCUGUUAUUAGGGAAGAACAUAUGUGUAAGUAACUGUGCACAUCUUGACGGUACCUAAUCAGAAAGCCACGGCUAACUACGUG
rnacentral:rRNA from 1 species